rnacentral:rRNA from 1 species
UACGUAGGUCCCGAGCGUUGUCCGGAUUUAUUGGGCGUAAAGCGAGCGCAGGUGGUUUAUUAAGUCUGGUGUAAAAGGCAGUGGCUCAACCAUCGUGUGCAUUGGAAACUGGUAGACUUGAGUGCAGGAGAGGAGAGUGGAAUUCCAUGUGUAGCGGUGAAAUGCGUAGAUAUAUGGAGGAACACCGGUGGCGAAAGCGGCUCUCUGGCCUGUAACUGACACUGAGGCUCGAAAGCGUGGGGAGCAAACAGG